rnacentral:rRNA from 1 species
UCAGCAUGUGUGUUAGUGGAAGCGUCUGGAAAGGCGCGCGAUACAGGGUGACAGCCCCGUACACAAAAGCGUAUGUGCUGUGAGCUCGAUGAGUAGGGCGGGACACGUGGUAUCCUGUCUGAAUAUGGGGGGACCAUCCUCCAAGGCUAAAUACUCCUGACUGACCGAUAGUGAACCAGUACCGUGAGGGAAAGGCGAAAAGAACCCCGGCGAGGGGAGUGAAAAAGAACCUGAAACCGUGUACGUACAAGCAGUGGGAGCCCCACCACUAAGCCAGUGGUGAACUCCACAUACGCAUCCUUUGCUGAGGAUACGGUUAACGGAGCGAAAGCGACGUUCAACCGCAAAAGAAGCAGAGGGGGCUUAGUGGUGGGGUGACUGCGUACCUUUUGUAUAAUGGGUCAGCGACUUAUAUUCUGUAGCAAGGUUAACCGAAUAGGGGAGCCGGAGGGAAACCGAGUCUUAACCGGGCGUUAAGUUGCAGGGUAUAGACCCGAAACCCGGUGAUCUAGCCAUGGGCAGGUUGAAGGUUGGGUAACACUAACUGGAGGACCGAACCGACUAAUGUUGAAAAAUUAGCGGAUGACCUGUGGCUGGGGGUGAAAGGCCAAUCAAACCGGGAGAUAGCUGGUUCUCCCCGAAAGCUAUUUAGGUAGCGCCUCGUGAAUUCAUCUCCGGGGGUAGAGCACUGUUUCGGCUAGGGGGCCAUCCCGGCUUACCAACCCGAUGCAAACUGCGAAUACCGGAGAAUGUUAUCACGGGAGACACACGGCGGGUGCUAACGUCCGUCGUGAAGAGGGAAACAACCCAGACCGCCAGCUAAGGUCCCAAAGUCAUGGUUAAGUGGGAAACGAUGUGGGAAGGCCCAGACAGCCAGGAUGUUGGCUUAGAAGCAGCCAUCAUUUAAAGAAAGCGUAAUAGCUCACUGGUCGAGUCGGCCUGCGCGGAAGAUGUAACGGGGCUAAACCAU